rnacentral:rRNA from 1 species
AACGAACGCUGGCGGCAUGCUUAACACAUGCAAGUCGAACGAGAACUCCGGGCUUAGUGGCGCAGGGGUGGGUAACGAGUGGGAAGUAGCCCUUAGGUAAGGAACACUUGACUGUAAGGGGAGCUAAUAAAGGAUAAUCUAAUCGCAGAUAAGAUCUUUGGCUAUUGGAUGGGGGCGUGUUAGUUUAGGUAGUUGGUAGGGUACAAGCCUAUCAAUGCGACGUUGCUUAGCUGGUCUGAGAGGAGGCUCAACCCCGCUUGGGCUGCGACACGGCCCAGAAUCCGACGGAGGGCAGCGGUAGAGUAUAUUGUACACUGGGCGAAAGCCUGGUCCAGCAGUGCCGCGUGUGUGAUGAAGGCCUUAGUGUUGUAAAGCUCUUUUACCCGGGAUGAUAAUGACAGUACCGGGAAAAUAAGCUCCGGCUAACUCCGUG